rnacentral:rRNA from 1 species
CAAAGGUUUGGUCCUGGCCUUGUGGUCAGUUAUUACUUACUAUACACAUGCAAGUAUCCGCCCCCCUGUGAAAACGCCCUUUAACCCCCGUUAGGGACAAGGAGCCGGUAUCAGGCGCGAAAAUCCGCCCAAGACACCUAGCUAUGCCACACCCACAAGGGAAUUCAGCAGUGAUUAACAUUGAGUAUUAGCGAAAGCUUGACUCAGUUAAAGUAAACAGAGCCGGCUAAUCUGGUGCCAGCCGCCGCGGUUACACCACGUGGCUCAAAUUGACCCCCCUCCGGCGUAAAGCGUGAUUAAAGUUUUCACUUACUAGAGUUAAACUAAGACUAAGCUGUGACACGCCUGUUAUCAAGAAACCCAAAAACGAAAGUUACUCUAACACAACCAACUUGAACUCACGACAGCUGGG